UCGAGAAUCUUCCGCAAUGGACGCAAGUCUGACGGAGCGACGCCGCGUGCGGGAUGAAGGGCUUUGGCUUGUAAACCGCUGUCAGGUGUUAUGAAGGCGUAGGCGCUAAUACCGUCUGCGUUGACAAAGGCACCAAAGGAAGUCACGGCUAACUCUGUGCCAGCAGCCGCGGUAAUACAGAGGUGGCAAGCGUUGUUCGGUAUCACUGGGCUUAAAGGGCGCGUAGGCGGCGCAGUACGGUCUGGGUGAAAUCCCUCGGCUCAACCGAGGAAUUGCCUGGGCUACGGCUGUGCUAGACAGCAUCAGGGGAAGGUGGAACUCGCGGUGGAGCGGUGAAAUGCGUAGAUAUCGCGAGGAACGCCGGUGGCGAAAGCGACCUUCUGGGGUGCUUGUGACGCUGAGGCGCGAAAGCUAGGGGAGCAAACAGGAUUAGAUACCCUGGUAGUCCUAGCCGUAAACGAUGUUCAUUAGAUGUGGGAGGUAUCGACCCCUUCCGCGUCGAAGCUAACGCAUUAAAUGAACCGCCUGGGGAGUACGGCCGCAAGGUUG
rnacentral:rRNA from 1 species